UCUUAUCCUGACCAUUAUUUGUUACAGACCAUGAUAACCACGUAUUUGGAUGUCUGGUUUAACUCUACAUGCGCUGGUUCGUGCAGGUGAACUUUUUUUCCAGAUACGGAGGAACGGACAUCGGUCAUGCCGUACGCACUCUUCUGCAGGGCAUAAUGAAGCUGCACUGCAGUUCAGCUGGAAAGGGUCGCAGGGGAGGAAGCACACCUUCGUGAAGUUCACGGCCAUCACGAAUCUCAUUCUAACAUCUGUGAGGAGCACCUUCCCAGGCUCUUCACUGGCAUCAGUGGCUGGAGUCACGAAACGCUGGUUAGUCGGAGCAGCUGACAGGGAUGGAGGCCGGAACGAGAGAAGGCACCGUGACCCCGCUUCAAGCCCACCAUGAACUCGCGUUUGAAACUUUUGUGAACUUGUGGGUGUAUAUAUCCCAGACAAAUACAAGAAAUAAAGACCUGGAUAAGAAUC
rnacentral:lncRNA from 1 species